CUUGGUCAUUUAGAGGAAGUAAAAGUCGUAACAAGGUUUCCGUAGGUGAACCUGCGGAAGGAUCAUUAGUGAACGCCCUCACGGGCUUAUAACUAUUCCAAACCUCUGUGAACCGUGCCCUUCGGGGCUAUUUUACAAACAUGGUGUAAUGAACGUCAUAUAUCAUAACAAAACAAAACUUUCAACAACGGAUCUCUUGGCUCUCGCAUCGAUGAAGAACGCAGCGAAAUGCGAUAAGCAAUGUGAAUUGCAGAAUUCAGUGAAUCAUCGAAUCUUUGAACGCACCUUGCGCCCUCUGGUAUUCCGGAGGGCAUGCCUGUUUGAGUGUCAUGUAGACUCAAUCCCUCGGGUUUCCGAGGAGAUUGGACUUGGGUGUUGCCGCUCUGCCGGCUCGCCUUAAAAGACUUAGCGGGAUAGCACCGUAGUCGGCGUAAUAAGUUUCGUCGGUGAAGGUUGUGAUGACUGCUUACAAUCGCCCUUGGGCAAUUUUUGACUCUGACCUCAAAUCAGGUAGGACUACCCGCUGAACUUAAGCAUAUCAAUAAGCGGAGGA
rnacentral:rRNA from 1 species